UUAAACCCAAUUCGAAGCUGAACCGAUCCAAUCCAAGGAGGAAAAGGAUAAGAAGGAAACAACCCUACCCCAUCACGUGACGCUCAUGUGAGAAGUCCCCUCCACCGCUAUGCUCUUUCUCUAUUGUGCCGACCGAUGGCCCCUCUUAUAAGUAUUCGUCUAUCGGCUUUCUCCGGGGGCUGCCCUUUCCCUUCCUUCCCCACCUUCUCUCUCUCUCUCUCUCUCUCGCUCGUCUUUCACUCAUCAUAAGUCGUCUGGUCGAUGUGUAUGCAUCAUCGCCUCAUCAUCAUCAUCNNN
rnacentral:lncRNA from 1 species